rnacentral:piRNA from 1 species
AUGCUUGUGCCCUUACUCCAAU